rnacentral:tRNA from 1 species
GGUGCUGUGGUAUAGUGGGUUAACACCCUGGUCUGAAGCACCAGAAUCCCAUACAAGCGCUGGUUCGAGACCCGGCUGCUCCA